rnacentral:lncRNA from 1 species
AUUUUCCCAGUAAAUGGUCCCGUCAAACAAAGAGAAAGAAACCUAUCAAGAUUACGCCACCGGCUAUGCUUUCCACCUCCGACAAUUUCGUUCAAUGGAAACACCAAUAAGCCCAAGUUUUUCAGCUCUAUAACUAUUAUCCUUGCAUAAACCCUUAUCUCCACCCAUUUUGCUGUCGCAGUCUUGACUAUCUCCUGCUACCGUCGUUCAACGGUUCCGACAAAAGGCCAACGUCUUCAGACCUUAUCUCCUAUCCAUUUUGCGAAUGAAGAUUGUUACUUGUUUCACAUCCUCAGCACAUUUGUUGUAAAGGACAAACUUCAUGUUCUUUGAAACUUGUUGAUCUGCAGUUUGAAGUGGGCAAGUUAUAACUUUGCAAUUCAUUCUACUCACGAUAUUCAACUGUAAAAUUUUAUUUUGGACAAUGGAAAUUUUGUUGGAGGUUUUUCGGUUGCUCUUCUAGCUCUAGUUUUUGAUACGAUCUGUGUAUGUGUUGGUUUGUAUUUAUUAUCAUUCAUUUCUAAUUUCUAAGCUAUUUCUUUCACCUGAGCAUGAAUAAUGUUAAAACUCACUUGGAGCAAUAUGUGUUCUCCCAGCAUCAAUAGUAGUAUGUGUUGGUAAGGUUAGUGACUUUGCCUUUGUUUGCAUGUAGGGAUGAAAGGGGAGAAUUAUGGUGUUUGUCAUAAUUGUAGAAGCACAGAUCACUAUUUCGAAGAUUGUAAGAGGAAAGUUCGCUGUCCGCGGUGCGUAGUUGGAAUUCAAAAAUGUUUCGAGGUUGAAAAGGAAGACAAUAACAAAGGUCAACUAUUCAAAACUUGUAGCAGCUUUUGUGAAUUUUUUGACCGGUAAGAACAGAAGAAUCAAGCGAAGAGUUGAGCGUCAUUAAUGACGUGAUAAAUCCUACUACCAAUGAGGAAGUCAACAAUUAAGUGUGUUCGAAAGUCUAGCUCGAAUUGCUAAGAAACGAAACGUCAAGAUUUUGUUGAACAUGACGUUCAACAUAGGAAAAGAGUCAUCGGAGGAUAAUGGAGAAUAAAAGGGGCAUGCAUGAUUAUUAGUCAUAUUCAUUCUUGCACUCAAAAUAGUUUUGUUGUUGGGUUUGUAAUGUCAUGAGAGGAUGGAAAAAAAUCGAAGAACUCAACAAUUUUCAUUUUCAAUGAAUACCAUGAAGGCCUUCUUUUUUAUAUGCAUG